rnacentral:rRNA from 1 species
CCCUAUUAUUUUAGAAUGUUAAUUUGUUUUUUGCCUGAGUAGUAUUAGUUAUGUUCUUGAAACUUAAAGAAUUUGGCGGUAUCUCAUUCCAUCCAGAGGAAUCUGUCUCGUUAUCGAUAGUCCGCGUUGGACCUUACUUGGUUGCUUUGGUUUGUAUACCGCCGUUUAUUUGAUUAUCUUUUUAGAGUUUUAAAUUUUCUGGUUUCCUUAUUUUGGUUUAUUUCAGGUCAAGGUGCAGCUUGUUUCCAAGUGAAUGAUGGAUUACAUUGAUUAAUUUGGUUUUGGAUUGCUUGCUUGAAUUUGGGCAUGAAAUUGGAUUU